AAACCGUCAGCCCAGGGUCUCGCGACGAGAGAACUGGCUGGUAACCGGCCGCUGCCCUUCCAAGACUCAUCAUUCACUGGGUUAAGGAGCUGUCAAUCACUUCUGUUGGGCCAAUGAGAAGCACCGCCUCACAGGAAAUAGAGGUUGGAGGGCAGGCCCACAGUUCCCGGGCUAUUUGAGCCUGCGGAGAUGCCUCUGUUCUGCGCACCUGCUUCUCUCACUGCUGGGACCUGUACGGCGGGGGCAGGUGGACGAGGGGAGGGGACAGUCAAGUCAGCCUGAACCUGCACCUCAGUCCUUUAGAGAAGUUCCGUCUCGCCAAGUCGAACAAGGAUCUGUAUUCACAGUAUGAGUGAGCCCCCUGCAUUGGCCAUCUUCCCUGUUUUCUCGACCAGCACCAUCUACAGAAGCUGACAAUGACCAUUGGGUUUUCCAGUGGAUACCAGAACGCCCCUUCCUGCUGCCUGGAGGGAAGACAGGAUAACUGUUUGGCAGCAAGAGGCCAAACAGGAAGCUGGAGAAGAUGUGGGGAUGGUGGUAGUCCAAAGGAGGAGCCUUAACCUGAGCACCCACCUUAGGAGGCAGACCCACCCUCCCUGCCCCAGCGGGAGUGAAUGUUGCCCCUCCCCCCAGGUCCUCAGAUGCUCUCUCACACACCCGCUUGGGACCAGGUUUGUUUUCCCUGCCUACAACAGAUGGGUACCCCCUACUCUAACCCAAUACCUCAGUGAUUAGAACUGCUGACUCCUACCUCUCCUGCAGCCCCCAUGGCAGGCCCCUACAGAACAAAACAUAGUCACCUUAGACUCUGGCAUACUAAGGCCAGGCCCUAACCUGUGGGCCUCGCUUUCCUGCCAAUUUAUUAUGUAAUAAAAAUAUUGUUGAGCGAGCCCUGAUGGCUUGGCGGUUAAGUUCAGCACGCUCCACUUCAGCAGCCUGGAUUCAGAUCCCAGGUGCAGAAUCACACCACUCGUCUGUCAGUAGCCAUGCUGUGGUGGUGGCUCACAUAGA